AUUGAACGCUGGCGGUAUGCCUAACACAUGCAAGUCGAACGGCAGCACAGUAGAGACUUCGGUCUUUAUGGGUGGCGAGUGGCGGACGGGUGAGUAAUAGGUAGGAAUCUGUCCUGGAGAGUGGGAUAACACGCGGAAACGCGUGCUAAUACCGCAUAAUAUUGAGAAAUCAAAGCAGGGGACCCUUCGGGGUCUUGCGCUCUAGGUUGAGCCUACGUCGGAUUAGCUAGUUGGUGGGGUAAAGGCCUACCAAGGCGGCGAUCCGUAGCUGGUCUGAGAGGAUGACCAGCCACACUGGGACUGAGACACGGCCCAGACUCCUACGGGAGGCAGCAGUGGGGAAUCUUGGACAAUGGGGGAAACCCUGAUCCAGCGAUACCGCGUGUGUGAAGAAGGCCUUCGGGUUGUAAAGCACUUUAGGUGGGGAAGAAAGGUACGAGAGGAAUAUUCUUGUGCUGUGACGGUACCCACAGAAUAAGCACCGGCUAACUCUGUGCCAGCAGCCGCCGUAA
rnacentral:rRNA from 1 species